GCGGCAGGCCUAAUACAUGCAAGACGAACGGUAAGCGAGGUAGCAAUAUUUCGCCUAGAGUGUCGUAAGGGUGCGUAACACGUAUGCAAUCUGCCCCCAACAGGAGGAUAGCUCGGGGAAACCCGAAUUAACCCUUCAUAAUAUCACGUGAGGGCAUCCGAUUGUGAUUAAAACUGAGGUGGUUGGGGAUGAGCAUGCGUCUGAUUAGCUAGUUGGUAGGGUAAUGGCCUACCAAGGCGAUGAUCAGUAGGGGAACUGAGAGGUUGAUCCCCCACACUGGCACUGAGAUACGGGCCAGACUCCUACGGGAGGCAGCAGUAGGGAAUAUUGGACAAUGGGCGCAAGCCUGAUCCAGCAAUGCCGCGUGCAGGACGAAGGCCUUCNGGGUUGUAAACUGCUUUU
rnacentral:rRNA from 1 species